GACGAACGCUGGCGGCGUGCCUAAUACAUGCAAGUAGAACGCUGAAGGAGGAGCUUGCUUCUCUGGAUGAGUUGCGAACGGGUGAGUAACGCGUAGGUAACCUGCCUGGUAGCGGGGGAUAACUAUUGGAAACGAUAGCUAAUACCGCAUAAGAGUAGAUGUUGCAUGACAUUUGCUUAAAAGGUGCAAUUGCAUCACUACUAGAUGGACCUGCGUUGUAUUAGCUAGUUGGUGGGGUAACGGCUUACCAAGGCGACGAUACAUAGCCGACCUGAGAGGGUGAUCGGCCACACUGAGACUGAGACACGGCCCAGACUCACACGGGAGGCAGCAGUAGGGAAACUUCGGCAAUGGACGGAAGUCUGACCGAGCAACGCCGCGAGAGUGAAGAAAGUUUUCGGAUCGUAAAGCUCUGUUGUAAGAGAAGAACGAGUGUGAGAGUGGAAAGUUCACACUGUGACGGUAUCUUACCAGAAAGGGACGGCUAACUACGUG
rnacentral:rRNA from 1 species